rnacentral:tRNA from 1 species
CUAUCUUGGCAGAUAAUAUGUGCUGGAUUUAGGAUCCUGUAAAAUAGAUUUAAUCUAUA